rnacentral:sRNA from 1 species
CUUGUGGAGUGUUAGACCAACCGUAUUAGCAGGCAAGUGGCGAGGCGGGACACGUAGAAGCAAGAA